UCGAACUAAAAUUAUGUUAGACCGUCUACAAUUCUUGUAGUCCAAUCCAAAUAAUUAUCACAACAUUAGCACACAUAAAUAAUGGAGAUAUAAUUCAAAUCUUUGCUUUCCAAUAUGACUGGAAUUUUAUUUGGUCUAUAAACAAAGUAUAUAUAAGAGAAUAUAAAAAUUAAUGUUAUAAGUGACACGUGUCAUCACAAUUUGGCAUAUUUAAACGUCAUUCCACAUGGAAGGAACAUGACAUACUUCACAUCACAACAAAUUAUUUAAAUCGUUGUAAUUAUAUGAUAAAGGCCUAGAUAAACGUUAAUGUUUCUUUUUCUUUUAUCAUAUAUAUAUAUAUAUAUAUAUAUAUUAUUGAACGUAUGUAUGUACAAAUUUAAAAAUGCAGUGGCCGUCAAUAAGUCUUAUACUUUCUGAAGUGUUUUUAGCAUAUAUUGUUUAUUCAAUAUAUACAUUAUCUUUAUUAUUUGUGGUUCCUUCGUGUGAAAAAGGAAAACCAUGCCUAGAGUCUUAUUUAUACAAAAAUCCACAAUUCCAAUUACAUAUUUAUAGUUCCGUAACAGAGAGACCAAUAGAAAGAGAAGUUCAUUUUUUGUAUACGCUGCAAGACUUUAAUUAUACUCAAACGCAAAACAUUUCUCUUUCCAUAGAUCUUCCUCGAAAAACUAAACAAAAUGGAACGCUGUUUCUACAUGUGAUAAUGGUGCCUAUUUUCCAUAAACAAGUAAAAUCCUUUAAAGAAUUGCAAAAGGAUUUACUUAUGGCAUAUACUACUAUAAAACUAACACAAUAUUCAGUACCUGAAGCAGAAGUUUUUAAUUUAUUAGGAGAACGAGAUGUAAGUGAAAGAACAAAAAAAAAAUAUGUGCACCCUGUAACGCAUAUUAAAAGCAAAGUAACAUUUACAAUAAUGACAGAGGAUAUUAAAUUUCCAACAGAUGGUGUACCCAUGGAACUCAUACAUGAUUUAAGGAUAAUAAAUGGUAAUAAAUUUUUACCAAUUAUUAACUAUGACUUUUUACAAACUCGUCAUCGUGAUCUUUUACAAAUAUCACCGCAGAAUAAAACUGUUAAUGUUUUUCUUAUGUAUACUCCAAUAACUCUUGGAAAGUUAAGAUUGAUAUUGCAUGUUGAAGCUGCUAUGCAGAGUUUGAAAAAUCUUGGAUUUUCAGCCAAAGAUAUAGAUGAAGUUAAAGGAAUUUUUGCAGAUACUAACAUAUACUUAUUAGGAAGUACUUUCUUCAUUGCAGCCGUUCAUCUGCUAUUUGAUUUUCUCGCUUUCAAAAAUGAUGUAAGUUUUUGGAGAAGAAAGAAUAAUCUUGCUGGACUUAGCAAAUGGACAGUGAUAUGGAGAGCUUUCAGUCAGACAAUCAUUUUUUUCUAUUUGUUAGAAGAAAAUUCAUCUUUACUUGUGCUCAUCCCAACUGGAAUAGGCACCAUUAUAGAGUUAUGGAAAUUAAAAAAAAUAUUCAGAGUAGAAGUGAUCAGUCAUAAUCGUAUUUUUCCAAGAAUUCAUUUUAAUGAAAAUAAAAUCAAUGCAGCUGAAGCGAAAACAAGAGUAUUUGAUGCUGAAAGUAUGCGCUAUCUAAGCUAUUUAUUAUAUCCACUUGUUAUUGGUGCUGCACUUUAUUCGCUACUUUAUCAACAUCAUAAAAGUUGGUACUCUUGGACGAUACAUUCUCUGGUGAAUGGCGUCUACGCAUUUGGAUUUUUAUUCAUGCUUCCACAACUUUUCAUUAAUUAUAAAUUAAAAUCUGUAGCUCACUUGCCGUGGAGAGCUUUCAUGUACAAAGCAUUUAAUACUUUCAUCGAUGAUAUAUUUGCUUUUAUUAUUACAAUGCCAACUGCUCAUAGAAUAGCAUGCUUCAGAGAUGAUGCAGUUUUUCUUAUUUAUCUUUAUCAGAGAUGGUUGUAUCCCGUUGAUAAAUCGCGCACAGACGCUGAAGUUAUAACAGAAGAAUCUGUAAACGUCUAUAGUUCAACGAAAAAGAUUAAUUAAAAAACGAUCAUCAUAUAUAUUCUAUCAAUCAAUCAAUCAGUCAAUCAGACAAAUAUUCGGACACUAGUAUAACUUCGAACAUUGUGCUUUAUAUAUUAACUAAUUCUGAAGUCUAACAAAUAUUUGGACGCUAGGCAUAUUUCAGGAGAUUUUAAUUCCUAGAAAAUGAAACAAAUAAUGUUUCUGAACGCACACUGCUGAAAAAACGUUCCGAAAAUUUUGUACAGAAAAUGUAUUACACAAAUCGUCUGUUCAUCCGGUACACAUGCAUUUCAUCAUGUUUCACCGUCAUAGGUAGUAAUAUAUUAUUUUCAGUAUCGAAAUUCAAAAAAAUACAAUAAAAGUAUCUAAUACAUAAACUUGUAUUGAUUUUGGUGAGUAAGUAGGUAGAAAAAAUUGUAAAUAAAGAAAAUGUAAUGCAAAUAAAGCGAGGAUAAUGAUAAACAAGCAUAGAAAACAUUAAAUUAGGUCUAAACAUCUGAUAAGGUAAAGAAAUCUAAAAUUUAUUUAAAAAAAUUUUUUUUUUAAUUUAUGUAUAGAAACAAAAAUAACAAAUAAAAGCAAGAAACGGAAUUUUAAAGCAAUAUAUGAAAAAAAAAAAGAACAGAAAGAAAAAAU
rnacentral:misc_RNA from 1 species